rnacentral:rRNA from 1 species
GAUGAACGCUGGCGGCGUGCCUAAUACAUGCAAGUCGAGCGAACGGACGAGAAGCUUGCUUUUCUGAUGUUAGCGGCGGACGGGUGAGUAACACGUGGAUAACCUACCUAUAAGACUGGUAUAACUUCGGAAAACCGGAUCUAAUCCCGUAUAAGAUUUUGAAGCGCAGGGUUCAAAAGUAAAAUACGGUGUUGCUGGCACGAAUAGAGGGAUCCGCGCUUCAUUAGCUAGUUGGUAAGGUAACGGCCUACCAAGGGAACUAUGCAUAGCCGAGCUGAGAGGCUGAUCGCCCACACUGGAACUGAGACACGGUCAAGACUCCUACGGGAGGCAGCAGUAGCGAAUCUUCCGCAGUGGGCGAAAGCCUGACGGAGCAACGGGGCGUGAGAGAUGAAGGUCUUCCGAUCGUAAAACUCUGUUAUUAGGGAAGAACAUAUGUGUAAGUAACUGAGCACAUCUUGACGGUACCUAAUAAGAAAGCAACGGCUAACUACGUG